rnacentral:rRNA from 1 species
AGCGAGCUUGCCUAGAUGAUUUUAGUGCUUGCACUAAAUGAAACUAGAUACAAGCGAGCGGCGGACGGGUGAGUAACACGUGGGUAACCUGCCCAAGAGACUGGGAUAACACCUGGAAACAGAUGCUAAUACCGGAUAACAACACUAGACGCAUGUCUAGAGUUUGAAAGAUGGUUCUGCUAUCACUCUUGGAUGGACCUGCGGUGCAUUAGCUAGUUGGUAAGGUAACGGCUUACCAAGGCAAUGAUGCAUAGCCGAGUUGAGAGACUGAUCGGCCACAUUGGGACUGAGACACGGCCCAAACUCCUACGGGAGGCAGCAGUAGGGAAUCUUCCACAAUGGACGAAAGUCUGAUGGAGCAACGCCGCGUGAGUGAAGAAGGGUUUCGGCUCGUAAAGCUCUGUUGGUAGUGAAGAAAGAUAGAGGUAGUAACUGGCCUUUAUUUGACGGUAAUUACUUAGAAAGUCACGGCUAACUACGUGCCAGCAGCCGCGGUAAUACGUAGGUGGCAAGCGUUGUCCGGAUUUAUUGGGCGUAAAGCGAGUGCAGGCGGUUCAAUAAGUCUGAUGUGAAAGCCUUCGGCUCAACCGGAGAAUUGCAUCAGAAACUGUUGAACUUGAGUGCAGAAGAGGAGAGUGGAACUCCAUGUGUAGCGGUGGAAUGCGUAGAUAUAUGGAAGAACACCAGUGGCGAAGGCGGCUCUCUGGUCUGCAACUGACGCUGAGGCUCGAAAGCAUGGGUAGCGAACAGGA